UGAGAAAGGAUCAAACCCAUGACCGAGGCCCAGGCACAGCAAAAUACCAACGCACACGAUGUCCCAGUUAACUGCUGGCUGAAGAGCUCUGCUUUUCAAAACGAAUACCAAGCAAUCCAAGUUGCGAAUGGGAAACCUUUCCCGCAGUGCUGGACCUUCAUGCCUUUAGUAUGUAGCAUUCUAAGACCUAAUGAACUCCACUGUAACAUAAAUUCAGUGCUGUAGCUUUGUGACAUGACUGUGAUCACACUAAUGCCGUUCAGCGCACAACGGGGCCUAAGCGAAGCCUAUCUUGGCUGUGACAAUAAAUCCGUAAUUCCUUUCUGGCAGGCGGUUUGGCAACCAGAUUAAAAAUGCGUGCACCCUGUGACCCAACAAGGUUUAUCCUGAGAAAAUAAUCAAAGUAUGCAGGGUAUGUAUGAGAAAAUCCAUCACAGCACUAUGUGCAACAGCUAAAACUAAACAGCUAAAAUCACCUAAAUAGCAGGCUAUUUAAGUAAACUAACAUACGGUGUGAAAGAGAAUACUACGUCGCCAUUAAAGAGCACGCAAAACUAGAUUGACAAGAGAUGUUCACAAAAUAUUAAGUAGCAAAAAGAUAUGGAGAAAAAAAGAUUUUUUAAUUAAAAAAAAUUUCGAUAAGAUAUAGAGAAGCAUUUAUAACAAUCUAGUUCUAUAAAAAUUAUAAAGUCUGUAAUGAAAUACUAUUUUAUUGUCAAUGGCUUUAUGACUGCCUUCUUUUGGGUUUUUAGUUUUCUCAAUUUUUUUCACAAUUACCUCUAUUAUGGAAAAACAGUGUAACUUUCCUUUUUCAGGUAGGACAAAACAGAACCAUUUCAUUGUGUUUUAGAGUCUCAUCUACAAGUCAGUUCAGAGCAUAGCCUCCUGGACAACUUUCUGGCUGAAAGCCACCUCUUCUCUCCUCCACCUGCUGCUGGCUGAAGACAUGGUAACCACAAUGGGCAAGACUAUGGGCUUGAUGUGGGGCAGUCACUUCAGCCACAGGAAGCUGUACCACGCCUCAUCACUCACUUUACUGUCGACUGGCAAGUAUCUGUGAUCUGCUAAUGAGAGAAAAUGUACUCUCGACAUGACUAGCAAAUUUUAUUUAGUUUUCAAAAUUUUUGUAAAGAGCAAAUAUAAUACUAGAAGUCCUAUAAGUCAAUAUAAAUGACUUUCUCAAAAAAAAAAAAAAAAAGCAUAUAACAGUGGGACUGUGGUCCUUUAAGGAUGGGCAGUUGAGAAUCAUUCUUCUAAAUAUUUUGUUUUGUAAAAACAAAGUUAAUAAAACUUUACUGAGCACCUAUAAUGUGCUGCCAUUGUACUGAA